rnacentral:rRNA from 1 species
UCGAUAAGAUUACCGCCCUAGUUUUAACCGUAAACUAUACCAACCAUCAAUCCGUCGACGCGUUCCCUUACUCCCGGCGUAUUCGCGGCGGCUUCGCGGUCGUUCGUGGUGCGUCGUGGACAAGUGUAAGCUCGAUGGGCAGUUCCUUUCGAACGGAAAACCAGAGUUUUUCGGUUCCGGGGGGAGUCUGGUUGCAAAGCUGAAACUUAAAGGAAUUGACGGAAAGGCACCACCAGGCGUGGAGCUUGCGGCUCAAUUUGACUCAACACGGGAAAUCUCACCAGACCCGAACAUCUUUGAUGACUGACAGACUGAAAGCUCUUUCUCAAUAAAGUGGAUGGUGGUGCAUGGCCGUUCUUAGUUGGUGGAGUGAUCUGUCUGGUUAAUUCCGAUACGAAAACGAGACAUAAUUCCGAAUACGAACGAGACUCUCCCCUGCUAACGAACCUUGGUGUUCUUGUAGACAGUGUGAUUCGAAUCAAGAGUUUGACUGGUAACGGUCUUAUCUCGGACGUUGUCCACUGAUCCCUGUUGCGAUUAGUGGAGCGGGUUUCUUCGUGUCUUGGUUAGUCUCGUACUGCCUUGGCGCGUGUUUCCUUGCGACGCUAAUUCGUGGCUCGGAGUACGUUUCUUCUUAGAGGGAUUGACGACUUAUAAGUCGUAAGAGACAGAGAGCAAUAACAGGUCUGUGAUGCCCUUAGAUGUUCUGGGCUGCACGCGUGUUACAAUGCCGGAGUCAACGGGUUAUCACGCUUCAUCGCGUCCUACUCUGAGAAGAGUGGGUAAACCUCUGAAACUCCUAACACGUUGCUAAAAGCCUCGGUUUUUAACGCGUACUACGGCUUGCUUGGGACUGGGGAUUGCAACUAUUCCCCACGAACGAGGAAUGCCUUGUAGUGGCGAGUCACAGAGCUCGCUGCGACUCUGUCCCUGCCUUUUGUAUCA